GAUGAAGAACGUAGCGAAAUGCGAUAAGUAGUGUGAAUUGCAGAAUUCAGUGAAUCAUCGAAUCUUUGAACGCACAUUGCGCCCUUCGGUAUUCCGUUGGGCAUGCCUGUUCGAGCGUCAUUUAAACCUUCAAGCUAUGCUUGGUGUUGGGUGUUUGUUCCGCCUCUGCGCGUGGACUCGCCUCAAAUUCAUUGGCAGCCGGUAUGUUGGCUUCGUGCGCAGCACAUUGCAAGCGACUUCAACAAACCUCCUUCCAUAAGCCUUUUUUUACUUUGACCUCGGAUCAGGUAGGGAUACCCGCUGAACUUAAGCAUAUCAAUAAGCGGAGGA
rnacentral:misc_RNA from 1 species